UACGUAGGGGGCAAGCGUUGUCCGGAUUUAUUGGGCGUAAAGAGCGUGUAGGCGGUUCGGUAGGUCCGUUGUGAAAACUCGAGCUCAACCUCGAGACGCCGAUGGAAACCCUCGAACUAGAGUCCGGAAGAGGGAGAAUGGAAUUCCUGGUGUAGCGGUGAAAUGCGCAGAUAUCAGGAAGAACACCCGUGGCUAAGGCGGUUCUCUAGUACGGUACUGACGCUGAGACGCGAAAGCGUGGGGAGCGAACAGG
rnacentral:rRNA from 1 species